UUGUCAGACCGAAUAGUGGAAUUUUAUCAGCACUCUUAUGUGCCAAGUAAUGACACCUCACCCACCUGAACCCUUCAGCUGGAGGAUCAACUGACACUACAGGACUGUUGCCAUUUCCAGAUGUAACUGUAGAUCCUAGAGGAAUAGACAGACUUACAGCUGGGCUUGCUGGAGGUUUCUAUAUGAAAUAGUAUAAACGGAGAUUGUAAUCCACAGAAGAAUGCAGAGCAGGUGCAAACGCUG